UCACUAACAACAACUACCUGAAUCCUUCGAAUUGGCCGGUUUCGCGAGCCAGUUUGGUUGCAGAAAUGGGUGGUGCCUCGGAGACACCCACGUCGUGACUCUUCCUCGAGACUCGGACCAUCGCCCUGUCACAGCUGGAAGUCACAAGUACGCACUAGGUGCAAAUCGGGGGCACGAAGAUCAUUCAAAAAUUAUUUGUAGAGGAGAAGGAUGAGGCACUCGACCUGUCCCAAGGAGAGAGAGCCCCUGGGGCUUCCUUGAAGGUGAUACACGACAUUCUCAGGCACACAGAUGCAACGUCCGUGCUGAAGACAGACAGACGAAAUCCAUUUGAAACAGUUCCAGGCCCUUUCGAGCUCUUUCGGCAAUGCAUGCGAUCAAAACCUGGGUAUACUUGAUCUCCUACUGCUUUCUAUCUUACUUUGGGCUUUCUACGUCAAGAACAGAAAUUUUAACUGAUGGGUGAUUAUAGCAAGUUUUAUAUUUCUUACAUUUAACAAUGAAUGAUAGAUAGCCUUUUCUAAUUUAUUGCCGACUCGUAAGUCAGUAUCCACAACCUUCCCCUACCAACCAGCGUGUGUUUGGUGAGUCAAAUCCUAGACAACUUGGCUAUCGAGGCCUUCAGUCAUAAAGAUGUAAAUUCCUUUUGGAAGAAGCAUCAUCUAUUCUAACCGUACUAGUUGUUUGGCCCACAU